rnacentral:lncRNA from 1 species
CACACACGCACACUGCUCCAAGCUGCUCCUCUCGCCGGAGCAUGAGGGAACCGGUCUCUCGGAGGAGCUUUCGCUGGAGGUGAGGCGACCCUGCCCGCCCGGCGCGGCUCCUGCGGAGUGACAGCGAGGCCUUUGGGGCUCCGGGAUGCGCGGGCCAGGAUCCAGGCGCGCGACCGCCGGCACUGGCAGGGGCUGCCCUGCGCGGACCAAAGAAGGGGUGGGGACCGAGCGGCGGACAGGGGAUGGAAGGGGAUGGGGACUGGGGACUGACGCCUCCCUCAGUGGCUCUCACCCCUCCUUCCCCUUCGGCCCUGUCAGUCCAUUGCCGCCGGGAACUGGCGUUGGAAACGGCACCGAGUGCCUGCAGGUGCCGCGAACCCGGCGGGUGACUGUGCUUAUUCUCUCCAGGGGCUUGGACGUGGGCAGCUGCGGGACCCCAUGCGGCCAGUGCAAGCCCGCCGGCCCUCCCAGCAUUGGCCUGCAGAGGGCGCUGCCGCACUUGCUCCCCGCUGGGCCCAGCCGCCAGCCUGGGGGUGCCGAGUGGAGGUCUGGCAGAGGACCGGAUCCAGACUGGAGCUGGUUCCCUCCGCACCUUUCUUAAGGGUCAGUUGGAGCUCUGAUGCUGGUGCUCACCGGUAGGGUCGGGACGAUGUUGUCACAUUUGUCACCCUCGAGGGGCCGCGUGGCGUUGCAGUCCGCUUUCCUGCCUCUGCAGCUGGAAGAGGCCUCGGGUGACAGGGGGAGACUGCCUCCUGGCUGAGUGGCUUUGCUUGACUCCAUCGUUACUAUCGGAUUGGGAGUUGGGAGGGGAGCUUUUUUUUUUCUUUCUUUCUUUUCCUCUCCUUGCAGAGCCGCGCAAGGCGUCGGAAAGUUUUCUACCACUUGGGGGACAUAUAGGAGGAAGAAGUGCGAGUCUUGCUUUCUGAAUGGAAUGGCCCGAAAGUACCAGAAGUCUUGCCUGCAAGUGGAGCCCUCGACUUCCCCAAUGAUCACCCCAAACUCUUACUCCUUCCCUGACGGAGGGGACCGACUCGAGACAGCCAGUCCUCGAUGGGCCCUGGGCAGGUGUCUGGAGUAUAGGAAUGGGAGGACCCGGGAAUUAGCUGCCAGCGCUCGCACUGGUGCCGGGCCCCUGCCCAAUCCGUGGAUCCCGCCCGCCUUCGAGCAGGGUGGGUGGGGAUUUUCGUCCACACUCAGGGAAUGUUGCCCACCUUGAAACCUCAAUCAAAGCGGAAAGUGGUGACCACCUUCCCAGAUGAACGGAGUUUAACACCUCUUGAAGCACCAAUGGGGACUUGAUCCAGCCCAGAGGUUCUGCAAGUACCCCACAGAGAGGUACAGAGCCGAAAGUGCCUUCUCAGUAGACCUGAUUUUGGGAAGCCCCACACCGGGGGUGGCCACGUCCCUUCUCAAGAAGUUCAACUGAGCAUUGGGUAGUGACGUUCCCCAGUCUGACCCAGACGCAGCAGUCCAACCAAGGCCAGGCUGCGUGGGCAAAAAAAUGUUUGAAGACCCACAUCUUAUAAGUGUGAGAUUUUGAUCAGGCAACACAGAUUAUUUAAAGCGUUCGGUUUCUCCGCGAUCCAAUUUUAUUAGGAUUUACUCUCAUUUGUGCUCGGCUUCUCUGGGGAAAUAAUGCUUUGAUUAAUGUAAUCCUGGCCCGGGAUCCGCCACAUGCCCCUCGACCCUCUCCCAGGAGAAAGGGCCUGUUUGACAAACAAUAACAGAGCAGCAACUCUUUCAAUCUGCCCACACCUUUGGGGGUGGCUGGGGAGAGGGUGACACACGUUCACACGCUGCUAGCUAAAUGCAAUGGCGAGAAGAGGGAGCGGGCUCUCUAUGGGGCGAACUUUCCAUAUUAAGAGUCCUGGACUUAGAAGCGUGAGGGCUCACGCUUCAGGAGAGGGGCCUGGGGCCUGGUGCGCCCAUGGAUGCGUGGGUGCAUGGGUGCAUGUACGCGCCUGUCCUCCGCUUGACCGAGUGUCUACGCCUUUGUCCCUCGCCACAGGCCUCCACGGAAGAGAGAUGCGCGCUGCUUAUGGGCAACCUCCGGACCCAGGGUGCGUCCACAGCGCCCACCCGCGGCCCCAAAGUACCUUGAGAGUAGGCCUUAGGGGUUAACCAUACGCACCAACCUGAGACGCCCUGCAGUUGCCAAAACCCCGGGAAGGAGCCUAGAACACGGGCCCAAAUUCAGCGGUUUUCCUCAUCCAUCCAUCCAUCCAUCCAUCCAUCCAUCCAUCCAUCCAUCCCUGCACUCAUCCAUCCUUUCAUGCUUACAUGCAUACAAGACAAAUCCGUGAGCAGAGGACAGAGAGUUGUACCUCGCCCUCGGUACGGGCUGAGAACGGCGCCCCCCUUGCAGCUCUCCCUCCUCCCGCUCAACCCCGGCCCCCACCCCGAGGGAAGAACAGCUCAAUUACGAAAAGGAGCGAAGGAGCGAAAUCCCAAGCUCUAAGGCGCCCGCCGACACUCCUCUGGUCCGGGUCCCUGUCGCACAAUCCCCACCCCCACUGUCCCCAGCUCGAGGAGGGCGGGGACGCGGCGAAGUGAGGGGUCCUGCCCUGCUCUGCCAGAACAAAGCCCGCCGCGGGAGCCCGCGGCCGCGCACCAAGCCGGCGACAAAGGCGAGCAGGCGGCGCCGAGCUCCAAGCCUUCGCUCCUGAGGCCGGGCGGGAAAGAGGCCCAGAAGAUGGGUGCGAUUUGCACCCAGUUUUUCUUAGGCUGCAGAUUUCGCUCCUGUGUACCCAAUGACCUGUUAGGGUGACUCAGCGUUUAUCUGAUCUUUCCCGCCGCCGUCCCUCUCUCGUCCCUUUCUGUCCCCAGUCUCCCCCAUCUCAUCCUGCUCUUUCCUCCACCUCGCUCCUUUUACCUUACCCUCUUCUCACUUUGCCCUUUUAAAUCUCUUUUUCAUUUUCUUUUAUACAGGAAAGUAAUGCUAAUUCGACUUCUGCAGGCCGCUCCACAUGUUCAAAUCAUAUUCUGAAAACCCUUACUGGACAGUGCUCAGGGAGAAAAGGGGGGGGGGGGAAGUAUGGGAUCUUUUGGGUUUUAUCAACCAAAUUGUGCUCUAAAUGAAAUAAAAUGCUGUUCUUUUGACUGCAAUCUAAGGAAGCUGAGCUUAGCCCCGAGGCUCCAAUAUUGCCGCUGAUCGGAAGAAGUUCCUUCUGGUGACCACAAAUCACAAAUGGCGAGAGUCAGGGCCAAAGGAGGACCCCACCAUUGUGGAAAGGCAUCCGCAAACGCUGAAGUUUCCAAGGCAAACCCUUUUGGGAAAAGUUCUAAUCUUAUAUUCUAUCCCUGGAAGGGAAUCUCUAGCCAAUUCCCUCCAAUAAAAUCAUGGUGUUUUCAAAUUUAGGAUACUUG